UGGGGAUGCGUUCCAUUAGAUAGUAGGCGGGGUAACGGCCCACCUAGUCAACGAUGGAUAGGGGUUCUGAGAGGAAGGUCCCCCACAUUGGAACUGAGACACGGUCCAAACUCNUACGGGAGGCAGCAGUGAGGAAUAUUGGUCAAUGGACGAUGGCCUGAACCAGCCAAGUAGCGUGAAGGAUGACUGCCCUAUGGGUUGUAAACUUCUUUUAUAAAGGAAUAAAGUGGGGUAUGCAUACCCGUUUGCAUGUACUAUAUGAAUAAGGAUCGGCUAACUCCGUGCCAGCAGCCGCGGUAAUACGGAGGAUCCGAGCGUUAUCCGGAUUUAUUGGGUUUAAAGGGAGCGUAGAUGGAUGUUUAAGUCAGUCGUGAAAGUUUGCGGCUCAACCGUAAAAUUGCAGUUGAUACUGGAUGUCUUGAGUGCAGUUGAGGCAGGCGGAAUUCGUGGUGUAGCGGUGAAAUGCUUAGAUAUCACGAAGAACUCCGAUUGCGAAGGCAGC
rnacentral:rRNA from 1 species